GUAUAAAGGCUACAGGCUCAGAUUGAACCAGUCUGGGACCAAGAAGUGUCCUGCUUUAUAAUCAGAGGACUCUGCAGACUGACAUAAGGAAAAAGAAAAGGUCCUUGGUAGUGAUUGACAGAGAGAUCCUAAGUCAAGGGGAGAAUCUUACAGUGUUUGUGUAAAGCACUUGGGAAAGCAAGCCAUCACUCAGCCUGCACUUACAAGAUAAUUUGCUGUCAGUGAAGAAAGAAAGCACCAAACCCCUGAGACUCUUCGUACUUGCCCUUGUCCUGGCUCCAUCAUUUAAAAGAAGGCUUAGCAUGGAGUGAAUGGCCAAUAAAAGUGCAUUGGUUAGACUAAAGGAAGAUGAAUGGCUCUGGUAUGGAUGGCAGUAACCACACCUUGAGGCAAAAGUGACUAAAAACAACAUGUUUCAAAUGGCUCUUCAAUAUUUAAAGUGAUGUCUAAUCAUCUGUGAAAUCAACCAUGGACUCUCGGGACCUCAUAAACAAAAGAAAAUGCUGGAACCAUUUCAUCAUCUCAAAUCUAUCAGAAUGGCAUGUUCUGAAAAAUGGAGCUUAAAGAAGGAAAAGAAAAUUACACCAUGAAAGGGGAACUUCAAGUUCAAUCUACAAGUAUCCUGCUUUCCUGCAAAUGCAAUAGCCAGAGAAGUCCAUUGUCCUGCUCUCCCCACAAGAGACAGAAGUCCAGGAGAGGGAUUACUAAGAACAUCCCUUCGGGAUCCACCUAUAACUCAGGCCAUGGCUUUGCCUCCCUGGUCUGUUCACAAGGAUGAAUAAAUGUGGCAAGUCAUAGGAAUCAAGCCAUUCUUAGCCAACAGGGCAUCCCUAUAGGCAAUCUUGAUUCUAGCAUCAGCUUGGACAUGAUUCUCACAGUGCUGUGUUAUAGCCUUCCCUCCCCCACCCCCCAGAUUGUUCAUCCUGCAGGAGGUAAAGUGUGUGUAGAUGGAGCCCACACACAUAUUUCAAGAGAAUAACACAGCAAUUUUAUGAUGAGCAUGCACAAUUAUAAUAAACACAGAACUCUGAUCAUGAGUCACCAGGUAACCAUACAAGCAGACUGCCUUGUAAAGGGAUAUGUUGGGCCUGCUGCGUAUAUGACAGACAAUUCUACAACAUGGUAUUUGACAUCUAAUACAAGAUGAAAAAUCAGACACCCAGAAUGAAGAUGAAAAAAAACAGGCAGGAGUAGUCAGUUUGUAACACAUGCACACACACACACACACACACACACACACACACACAAGGGGGGAGCAGAGACAGAUACAGAGAGACAGAGAGAUAGAGACAGCAUAGGGAUCAAGUCAUCAUCUUCUGCACUCCUGCUGCCACAACCCCAAAUUCACCAAAUGACUUAUUGUUCUACUUACUUGUCUGUUCUUAGCAACAGAUUGAGGAGUUAAAAAUGGCUUAACUCAGCUUGCAUUUGGAAAUCACGCCUGACAUCCUGCUACAUAAAGAGCCAUUCUGU